rnacentral:lncRNA from 1 species
AUGAACAGACAGUUGGACCUAAGUGGGAAGGUAAUCAUGAAAGCUCAACUUGGGGAGGAUAUUCCAAAAAUUCCUAUUCAUAAUGAAGAUAUUAAUAUUACUUAUGAUGAAUUAGUGCUAAUGAUGCAACGAGUUUUCAGGGGAAAACUUCUGCGUAAUGUUGAAGUAACAAUAAAGUAUAAAGAUGCAGAUGACGAUCUUAUAACAAUUUUUGAUAGUUCUGAUCUUUCCUUUGCAAUUCAGUGUAGUAGGACACUGAAAUUGACAUUAUUUGUUAAUGGCCAACGAAGACCCCUUGAAUCAAGUCAGGUGAAAUAUCUCUGUCGAGAACUGACAGAACUUUGAAAUAAAGUGAAUCACUUAUUGGAUAGCUUGGAACCACCUGGAAAACCAGGACCUUCCACUAAUAUUCCUGAAAAUGUUACUGUGAAUGGUAGGGAAGAAAAGCCUGCUUCUUCGGAUUCUUCUGGAAAACAGUCUACUCAGGUUAUGGCAGCAAGUAUGUCAGCUUUUGACCCUUUUAAAAAACCAAGAUGAAAUAAAAAAUAAUGUUACGUCGGCAUUUGGCUUAACAGAUGAUCAGGUUUCAGGGCAACCCAGUGCUCCUGCAGAAGACUGUUCAGGAACAUCUGACAGCAUUGCCGCCUCCUCCUCAGUAGCAGCUCACCCACCAGGAGUUCAGCCACAGCAACCACCAUAUACAGAAGCUAAGAUACAAGCAGGUCAGACUGAAAGUCAGCUGUAUCAAUAGUACCAGCAACAGGCUAGCUAUGGUGCACCGUGUCUGCGGGCUCUACCUCAGCAGCCUCAACAGUAUGGUAUUCAGUAUUCAAAAAGCCAGAGUCAGCAGACUGGACUCCAAACAACCUCAGCAGUUCCAAGGAUAUGGCCAGCAACCAACUACCCAGGCACCAGCUCCUGCCUUUUUGGUCAGCCUCAACAACUGCCUGCUCAGCUGCCACACAGUACCAGGCAAGCAAUUAUCCUGCACAAAUUUAUACUACCCAAACUUUUCAGCCUACUAAUUAUACUGUGGCCCCUGCCUCUCAACCUAGAAUGGCUCCAAGCCAACCUGGGGCCUAUAGACCAAGAUCAAGUUUUACUUCACUUCCUGUAAGUAGCAUGACCCCUCCUCCAACUGGGCCUAAUCCUUAUAUGUCCUCCCUUUGGUCAGGGCUAUACCAAACCUGGACCUGGUUAUCGAUAA